GAUUGGUCAGGGCUCCUCUUCCUAUUGGCUGUGUCGGGAGGGGCGGAGCUUCCCGGGGGGGCGUCACGUGGCCGCGAGCUGACAGUGCGGCGCCUUUUGAGCUGCACGUGGCGCGGCCCGGAGCACGAGCGGGCCUGCUUUCCAUCCACAAACUCUACCACUGAAGCUGAUGGGAGCUGCAGGCAUUCAGCGCCUUUGAACAUCAGGUCACUUUUUGCUUGCUGGCAGACUUGUCUGAGGAUCUGACAGAGGUGAAGCACAGGGACUACCCAGAAGAACACAGGCAGAUCAGAAUCACGCCUCUCCUGCAGCAAUGGGCUGGCUGGAAGCAUCGAACUGGCAGCUUCACAUUUCCUUGAUCGUGCUACUCUCCAUACACACGAAGGGUGCCUUGGCUGGACCAGUUGUUGAUUCACAUGUAACAGCAGUUUGGGGGAAGAAUGUCACCCUGAAAUGCAUAAAUGAAAUAAGUGGAACAAUAACACAAAUCUCAUGGGAGAAGAUACAUGGUAAAAAUAAGCAGACCAUUGCUGUUUAUCAUCCUGAAUGUGGGUUUGCUGCUCAAGGACAAUACCAAGGAAGAGUGUCACUUAAGAACUACUCACUUACUGAUGCAGCCAUCACCCUACACAAUAUAAGCUUCUCUGAUUCAGGAGAAUAUGUAUGCAAAGCAGUUACAUUCCCGCUAGGAAAUGUUGAGUCAUCAACAACUGUAAC